GAUGAACGCUGGCGGCGUGCCUAAUACAUGCAAGUCGAGCGAACAGACGAGGAGCUUGCUCCUCUGACGUUAGCGGCGGACGGGUGAGUAACACGUGGAUAACCUACCUAUAAGACUGGGAUAACUUCGGGAAACCGGAGCUAAUACCGGAUAACAUGUUGAACCGCAUGGUUCAACAGUGAAAGACGGUCUUGCUGUCACUUAUAGAUGGAUCCGCGCCGCAUUAGCUAGUUGGUAAGGUAACGGCUUACCAAGGCAACGAUGCGUAGCCGACCUGAGAGGAUGAUCGGCCACACUGGAACUGAGACACGGUCCAGACUCCUACGGGAGGCAGCAGUAGGGAAUCUUCCGCAAUGGGCGAAAGCCUGACGGAGCAACGCCGCGUGAGUGAUGAAGGUCUUCGGAUCGUAAAACUCUGUUAUUAGGGAAGAACAAAUGUGUAAGUAACUAUGCACGUCUUGACGGUACCUAAUCAGAAAGCCACGGCUAACUACGUG
rnacentral:rRNA from 1 species